AAUCAACGCUGGCGGCGUGCCUAACACAUGCAAGUCGAACGCGACUUGGGCUUCGGCCUAAGUUGAGUGGCGAACGGGUGAGUAACACGUGGGUGACCUACCUUCGAGUGGGGGAUAACGUCCCGAAAGGGACGCUAAUACCGCAUAACAUCCUGCCUUUGAACAGGUGGAGAUCAAAGCCGGGGAUCGCAAGACCUGGCGCUUGAUGAGGGGCCCGCGUCUGAUUAGCUAGUUGGUGGGGUAAUGGCUCACCAAGGCGACGAUCAGUAUCCGGCCUGAGAGGGCGGACGGACACACUGGGACUGAGACACGGCCCAGACUCCUACGGGAGGCAGCAGUGGGGAAUUGUUCGCAAUGGGCGCAAGCCUGACGACGCAACGCCGCGUGGAGGAUGAAGGUCUUCGGAUUGUAAACUCCUGUUGCUCGGGACGAAAAGCUUCGACCUAACACGUCGAAGUCUGACGGUACCGAGUGAGGAAGCCCCGGCUAACUCUGUGCCAGCAGCCG
rnacentral:rRNA from 1 species